rnacentral:lncRNA from 1 species
ACCUUAUAGGCUUGUAAGCUUUAGAUUGUGUCUGACAAUCAUCAUUUUAUCCUAGUAGAAUUUUUUUUUAAUUUUUUUUAAGAGAAAAAGAGAUAGAUGAGAAGAGAAUUCUAAAGAUGGGGGCCUAAGGAGUCUUAAAUCUAGAGAUGAUAGAGAAGAGCAUUUUAAUUAGGGUUAAUAUUUAUAGAUUAGUAAUCAAGUUACGUAAUCAAUCCUAGCUAAGGGUAACCCUAGAUCUAGAUAGCUC